AUCGUAAUGGUAAUGAAGUAACUGUUUCAAAGUAGAAAUAUAAUCUUAAUAUGGUAUUGAUAUAAAUAUAUCAAUGUUUUAUACCACAAAAUUAGUCAUUAAGUGGUGUCAUCCAAGUUCUAUCCUGUGAAAAGAAUAAAAAGAACCAACAAAUCUAUUGUUCAAAAUUAAUUCAUUACAAACAUUUCAAAUAAUGUAGAAAACAGUAGGAGUAACAUCUCUAUUUUACAUAUGCUAAAAAAGCAGCAUUUACAACAGGUCUGAAACUCAAAUUAUCAUUAUUAAGACUUGGUGGUAACCUCAGGAGAGCAUGAAAAAAUUCUCAUUUAAAACCUAAUUUUUUGAUAUAUUUUUUGGCUUCAAAAUUAAGUUGAUGAAUACUUGCAAAAACUGUUAUAACAAGAUGAUAUAAUGUCCAUACUGGAUAUGAUAAAUCUGAGGCUUUACCAGGUUUCCAUAAAUUCAUGUUAAACUUCACCUAGAGAAUAGUUUGGUGUUAUAAGAAUUCGAAAAGACUUAUUGGAAGUUCGAAAUGAGGUAUUAAUCACUUGCAUCAUAAAGGAUCUUUUUAGGAAUAGAGGAGUUGGUUUUUAACAGGAUACUCGGAUGUAUAAAAGAGUUGAGUGACUAACAUUCACAAGUUAAUAAAGACCUGCAAUAAAGUAGACCACCGAUACUUUUUUACUUGUUCAAGAACUGGUGAAUAAAUGUGAAAAUUAAUUUUAUUUCUAGUCUCAUGAAAAAAAAAUUAAUUACUCCACUGCAUAGUUUGUAGAAUCUAAACAUAUCUUACUGUUUGAUUAAAUAAAAAAAAUGUAUUUUGUGA